rnacentral:lncRNA from 1 species
GCGGCGGGACUGGCCCUGCGCCCGGGCACCGCCUGCGCUGCGCCGCCCGGCCUCACUCCGCGGCCCGCCAGGACCCGGCCCCGGUGAACGGGCUCGGGGUGCCGAGGUCCGGCUGCGGGGCCGGGAAGCCACCUCCACCUUGCCGUCUGUUACGACCCCCGAGGCGCAAGGCUGAGCCCCAUCUCGCUAUCCGGGUCCGGAGGGGUUCACCUUAGAAGGAUUUUUUGAAGCUCUUGGCGCUGGCUCUAAAAGAACCCACUUCCUUGCGGAUUUCAGGAGUCAAGAAUCCUUAAACGGAGCCAAUUUGCUUUGUAAAGCCAAUUGCCCAAGUGACUUGAGUUCGAAAGGAGAUACUUCCUGGACAACUGCUAUAAAAACAACAACAAAUACUUUUAUUAAUUCGGGGAGCCUGGUCACCAACUGGAUGCUCAGGGGAGAUGGAACCCUGAGCAGCCCAUGUACAUGGAAGAUCUUUAUUGCAGAGAUCUUCAAACCAGGAAACUGAGGCUAAAGAGUUUAGUAUUCUGCCAAGGCCAGCUAAUAGUUACAGAGCAUGGUUCCAAAUUCAGAGCUGUCGGAAGCUUAAGCCCAUGUGAUGAACCACGAAUGUGAUUUUACCUCAUUUAAGCCUUGCAGCAAACUCUGCCAACUAGUGUGCAUUUACUCCUGCCUCUCCAUGCCUGAAGGAAGGAAUGAAGAGGUCUCUGCUGUCCAUCUGAGCCAGUGACUGGGCUGUCUCUACCAGGCCAGAAUUUGGGGCAGGCAAGAUUUUCAGCAUCCCUAAAAUCACACUAAGAAGAUAAACAUGGAAACAGCUUGGAGCUGCCCUACCCAUAGUGAGGUGGUACUGACUGGAAGACAGCUUAAACGAUUUGGAGAAAAGUGGAAUACAUUAAUCUCAGAAAACUCUACCACCUGUAGAAAGAGAGCUAAAAUGGAGACAACCACAGGCAGUCUAAGAUACGCUGAACUACUACAGAAAAUAAUGCAGCAUGAAGGAAUGCUGGAAGGAUCUUCUAAGGGUGUGAGGAUACAGGCGUCAAAGACCCCGUGCUGAGACAGCUCCAUAACAACAUGCAGAUAUUUGGCAAUGAGGGUUCAGAAGAGGACUUGCUGUGGAGAAGAGAGAAAAGAGAUGGGAAGACUCUGUGAAUGAAUAGAGAACACUCUGCAAGCAUCCCAGUUCCUUUGGUUGCCCUGCAGUCUGCAGGUACCAGGAGAAAUCAAAAGCCGCCUGGAAGGGCUUUCUGUCUGUAUGGAGUCAAGGCAGUGUCUUCAAAUCUGUGCUUUCUAAAACAAAGAAAUAACCUUGAUGAAACAAAUUUUCCCCAGAGGAAGGGGAGAGCCCACAGUGAGCUGGUAAAGAAGAUGCCUGGAGCAGGCAGCAUCCUCAAAUGGAAGGUAAUUGCCCUCAAAUCACUUAACUAGGAUGACCUACUUUGCUUUCCUGUAUAGCCAGGUCUGUUAUCAGACCCUUAUCUUGGGAGGCAUCGUGCCAGAGCCUGGGGCAAGAAAGGGCUGCUAUCCAGGAAUGCAGGUGAAAUUAUAGCUAUUAGCCCUGUCUUAGAGUGUGAGGAAAAUGUGCCCCCCUACCCCUGGCUAAGUUUGGGUUCCCAUGUCAUAAACUGCCUCCCUCUCUGAUAGCUCUGCAUAAACAUCCCAGGAACUCAAAGUAACAUUUGAUUUCCCAAAGAGAACAUUUGCAUUUGUAACUGUCAGAAAUAGGAGAGAUCAUCAAAGCUAAAUGAAUUGGGCUAUAAACAGUUUGAAAUAUGUCUUUAAAUUUUAAAAAACAUAUUUUUUGUUUGUUUUGGGGAGAGAGGAUCAUUUAGACUCAACAACAAAACAGAAAACUGUGAGUGCCAUUUUGAGACAAGACCUACCUGGUCCUUCCCCCUCAUACUUUCUGCUACCCCGUGACCUCCCUCUCUCCUUCCAGUCACAGAUUAUCCGCUUGGUUUUGGAGUUUUAAAUGUGUGGUCCUGAGAGGGAGAGGAGAGCAAGAGAAUCUCAAGAUAGAUUUGGAAGAUUAGGGUAAGACAGUGAGGGUACUAGAAGUGCUUUCCCAAGUGAGUCCCCAGAAGGGAGGGAAAAUAUCCAUGGAGAAGGGGCAGUGUGGUUGGUCCUGGCUAAAGGGCCUGAACAGCAGAGGCUAUUGCAGCCCUGCAUAGCACAGGGCAAUGGAAUAACUUCAUAGGCCCCCAAACUGCAUGGAAGCAGAUAGGGUCUUAGAAGCACGGGGUUGCUUUCCUGGACCUGGUGUGGCUUGGAAGCCACAAAAUGUUUCCUGUGCACCUACAAGAGUGUAAGAAAACCACUGGAUAGGAAAGGACCUUGCAGACUGGAAUGAGUCAUCAUGCAGACCAAAGUCUACCUCAGUGGAUGGCAGUGUGGAUGGAUAGGGACAGAUGUCCGGAUACUGUCUGUCGUGUGCACUCCCACCCCAGCCUUUUGGUAUUCCUGGUACAAAGAUAUAACUCUUAGGAAAAACAGAAACCCUAAAUAGGCUGAGAUUAAGUUUCUUUCACCUGGAAGAAUGAAGACUAUGGUAGAUUUUGAGUUAUAAAACUCAAAUUUUUGCAUUUCUUGAACACCUAAGUCUAUGGACUGAUAUUAGCACCAGCUGCAGAAAUAAGCACAGUUCUCACCACUUUUCAAUUUGAAUGCAGAAGGAGCCUUGUCUGGCCAUAGCUCUGCCCUCUACAGUGGAAAACAUAACUUUAGUGGAAUUUAGAGAUCUUUGAGUAAAGACAGAAGAAUAGCAAAGUCUGUUAUUUACCACCUCACUUUUUUUGUACAAAUAUUUGAAAGCAUUUUCGCAUUAUACAAUACAAUUUGUUUCUAUUUUGAGGCAAACACAUCUGUUAGAGGAAUUAUUGCAUUUCUUCCCCCUAGAAAGCUGUCUCCUUAAUCUUUCCACAAAGUCUUGAGAAUGUUAGCUUCUUUUUCUACAUUGUUGGAAAUCACAGCGUGGUGUUCCUCCUGACGGCACUCCCACCUUCAUCAUUCUGUGCUUACAGUUUCACCACAUUCCAUUGUUCUAAUGAGGUGACUGAGUGGAAGCUGAGGUUAGAAGAUAAAACUUAGAACAGGAGCAGCCCUUGGCUCCUUUCCCUUGGAGGGUGCUUCAAAAGAGGUGAAGUUUUCAAAGAUAGAACUUCAGGGAGAGGGUUUUGUGUUCCGGCUUCGAAGUGGCAAUUCUUUCCUGAGUUGUCACCUGGACUAUCUUACCAUAUUUCCUGGUUGAAUGAUUCCUCUAAAUCUUAUCUUAGCCUGGCCAAAUAUCCCUGGUCCCUUUGAUAUCUAAGUUUUCUGGCCAAGAAGCAAAUUCCUGUAGUUCCAAAUCAGUAGCUCAAGUUCCUGGGUCAGACUACCCGCAGGCCCUCAAGUUGCUGUCUGGUUGUCGUCUAAAAAGUUGAUGUCACAGGCCAGUUGAUAUCAAAGAGUCCUGGGUUUAAAAACUGACUCAGGACUUCUAAUUGUAAGGCCUUACACAAGUUAUGUGACAAUUCUUAACCUAAGUUUCCUCAGCUAUAAAGUGGGGAUUAUAGCAAUAUCCCACAAUACCUCUGACAAUGAAAUAAUGUGUAUAUAUUGCUUGGCACCGGAUAUGGUUUGGAUCUGUAUCCCCAUCCAAAUCUCAUGUUGAAAUGUAAUCUGUUAUGUUGGAGGUGGGACCUGGUGGGAGGUGAUUGAAUCAUGGGGGUGGUUUCUAAUGGUUUAUCACUGUCUCCCUAGAGCUGUUCUCAUGAUAGAGUUCUCGUGAGAUCUGGUUGUCUAAAAGUGUGUGGCACCUCCCCACCCCACUUUUCCUCCUGCUCCAGCAAUGUUCAAUGUGCCUGCUUCCUGUUCACCUUCUGCCAUGAUUGUAAGUUUCCUGAGGCCUCCCCUGCCAUGCCUCCUGUACAGCCUGUGGAACUAUGAGCCAAUUAAACCUCUUUUCUUUAUAAAUUGCCCAGCCUCAGGUAUUCUUUAUAGCAGUACAAGAACCAAUACAGCACCUAAUAGGCAUUCAACAAAUAGUAAUUCCCUGCUCCUUCUGCCUAAGCAGACAUGCAUGGGUUUGUGUAUCUAAACUGUAGGACUUUACAAAGACUAAAAUGGAAUUUUUUGAGGCA